CCUACGGGCGGCAGCAGUGAGGAAUAUUGGUCAAUGGACGAGAGUCUGAACCAGCCAAGUAGCGUGAAGGAUGACUGCCCUAUGGGUUGUAAACUUCUUUUAUAUGGGAAUAAAACGUUCCACGUGUGGGAUUUUGUAUGUACCAUAUGAAUAAGGAUCGGCUAACUCCGUGCCAGCAGCCGCGGUAAUACGGAGGAUCCGAGCGUUAUCCGGAUUUAUUGGGUUUAAAGGGAGCGUAGGUGGAUUGUUAAGUCAGUUGUGAAAGUUUGCGGCUCAACCGUAAAAUUGCAGUUGAAACUGGCAGUCUUGAGGACAGUAGAGGUGGGCGGAAUUCGUGGUGUAGCGGUGAAAUGCUUAGAUAUCACGAAGAACUCCGAUUGCGAAGGCAGUUCACUGGACUGCAACUGACACUGAGGCUCGAAAGUGUGGGUAUCAAACAGGAUUAGAUACCCCAGUAGUC
rnacentral:rRNA from 1 species